UAUGCUAAUUAAGAGAAGAGUAUGAAGGACUGUUGCUCAUACCCAUUCACAAAUUUACAGACAUGUUUAGGACAGAUAAAUUCCUUAGACAGCAAAUAAAAAGGUACUGUCCAUGUCAAACUCCAAAACAUAGCUGUAAUACCUAUGCUUUAGAGAACACUGUCCUACAAAGAAGUUGGCCUUUUGAGUUUUCUUGUCUUCCACUUGAUGUGCAAUCUCCCUGCUACCACAAAGAUAUUCCAGCUCAGGGAACACAGCUGAAGAGCUAAAUGAUACAAAGGAUGAAACCCACAGCAUUCAAAACACUUUUUAACACAGAAGUCCAUAUCUGAUCUGGAAGUCUCUUAUCUCCUCACUCCUGACUCAACAUUUGAUGUGAAGUUGUGGACUCAUGGCUCCACUGCUCUUCCUCAUCAUCACCUUAGCAUCACCUCUCUUUACUCUUUGAUGAUCAUUUUACAUCACUGCUGCCUUUCAUUUCUGUCCACAGUGAGCUUAGUUCUGUUCCCUUCUCUCCUCCAAAAUCACCAAAAAUGCUGAAAUGCUAUCUAUCAGCUCACUGACCUUGUGUUACCCUUGCACCCACCUGGCUCUUUCCCAUCUAUCACUUCAGAGCCAUCUUAACCUUACCUUGCCUAUAAACAGCAAAAUGAAAACAUGUGAUUGCAGCAUAUGUUAAUUACCUUUAAUUUAUACAGCACAACAAAAGCCAUGAAGAUGCAUUGGAAUGGACUGCAGUAUGGGCUUAUUAGGAAUACGGGAUUUGUAUUGUAAUGACUGUGCAUCAGUGUUGUCUGGGCCAUCUACCUCUGGGUUGGCAUGCCUGCUCCUGCUAUAUUCAUACCUCAAUGUGGCACAAAGAGAAACUCGCCUCCGCCCCUUUUCUUCUCCCAGUGAUACCUGCACCAUUGUCAAACCAAGUUUUGUUUUAAGUGCUUCUAUGUUUUCUCCUAUGCUGUAUUUAUAUUAGUAUGUCCCUCCACACAACGUAAAUCCCUGUCCUAGCCUCCUUCACGUGCCUAUUAAAACACAUUUGAGCUGCAUAGCCUGGCAAAAACCUGCCAGUGGUGUGUCAGAGCUAUCAUCAGCAAGGUAAGAACAUCAGCUACCAUCAGGAGAAGCAGGAGCUGCUGCUUCCUUCCGUUUUCUUUCCCAGGAAAAGGAGUCGUGCUGAUCCGCAAUCUCCCAACAAGGUCACUAUGGGGAAAAAAGGGAAGCUGCCAUCCCCUUCAAGCAACAAACCGUAACUAGGAGUAGAGAGACAAUCUAAGCAGCCCAUGAUAGAAAAUGGAAAGAAGGAGAUGCUCAGAUUUCAUUACCAAAGUAACAGGCCUGACCAACACUGUGCAGCAGCAUUGCACCUCUUCAUUCUCAGAUAAGGGAAGACUGAAGUGCAAACCUUCUUUUUCCCAGGGAGAAGGAUACCACAACUGAUGCCUAAGGAUUUUGACUGAACUGGUAGGAUUGAAUAUAACUAGGAACUGAAAAUGACCCCAGUUAAAGAUUUCUUGUCACUGAAAAAGACUUCGGCUUCACCUUUCAAAUUCCAGUGGAUGGCAAUCUAAAGUGAAAUUGUUCAGCUGAAAUUGCCGGGACCUUAGGUACUCCAGGCUACUGGAAAGACAUUAUUAAGCCUGCAUUAAUGAAGAGAUUGGACUUAGGGCAUGAUCCAGAGCCCAUUGUAGUCAAUGGGAGUCUUUUUCCAUUGACUUCAGCGGGGUUUGGAUCAGGCCUUUACUUCCUAAAAUGAAUAGACUCCCAGCGAAAGUCUGCUAUAAGCAAGUGGCAUCCUUUCCUGAGAUCUUGGAAGAUACCGAAGACAAUAGUAUACUUCACUCAUGAGUACAGCUAUAUGUAUGGCUCACUGCUCAUGGGAAGCACCCAGUGUAUCUUAAAAGUAAAGAAAACCUUUAAAGUCUAAGCGUUGCUUGUCACAUUCAGAAUACUUGAUCUAGAAAGCAGGGAUUUCUGUUCAUAUAAUAAAUUGGUAAAUUAUGAGAAACAAUGCAGAUAAAUUUCUGAGUAUUUCUUAGUUCCCAAGGGAAAGGGGAGAAUUUAAGUUUAAAACUCCCAGAACUCUAGUAUGUGAGUCCUUGACAUUCAGAAAUAAAAAGCAAUGAUAUCACUAGAGACUUCACUUUUUGUCACAAUGACUGUAAUGAAAACUAAUAGUACCAACACAAAAUCAUCGAUUUUUCUAUGAGGAUUGACCAUUUUCAAAAUUUCUAUUUCUAUAAAAGGGAUCUAAAUAUACUACAAAAUUGAAGGAAACUAAAGUAUUUCUUUCAAAGAACAAAUAGUAGGGGAUUACAAAGUUCCUGUUUUGUUGUUGUUGUUUUUUCCUGAAUAAGUUUAAACAAUCUUCCUAAAUUGAAGAGCAAGUAGAAAAAAUUUAAAUCCUCCCCUGCCUCUUGAACCCAUGUACUUUCCAAGGAAAAAGUUCUGUUUCAAGUCAUGUAAAUGUCUGAAAUCCUAAAUGCCUGAGAGCACAGACUGAGCAAUGGCUUCAAGGCUUUUGGCUUCAUAGUCUUGGUUAGUUAUGUGAUGUCUUACUUGGACAUCUGCAGGACUGUCCCUAUGUCUGAGCUAGUUGCUCAAGAUUUCCUUUACAGAUAGCACUUUUGGAGCAGAAAUCUUAUCAUGCUCAUGCAGUUGCUUAAAGUUGAUUUGACGAACUAUGCCCCAAAACUACCUCACUCUCUCCACUCAUUAUGAAAGGAAUAAACAUGACAAAAAAUACAUGCAUACAUUUAAGCACAUGAUUUGCUUUUGCCUCCCUCCUCAGUUGAUACAAACUGAGAACCUUAAAACCUUGUGAUCAGGACCAACAAAAAGCUUGUAAUCAUGGCUAGAGGUUCAAGAGUGAAGUGGCUGAGAAAGCCUUUGGACUUCCAGCAAUCCUUAUUGUAACAGUGAGAGGACUUGGACACUGCCAAUUGCAAUUUCCACAGCUCUAAAUCACGUGAUUUUCAAAGGGAAGAAGAGGGAGCCUGAAAGAUUUCUGCCAUAUGUUCAGAGACAUCUCUAGUCCAGACACUCCUGAUACCUUCUUCUCCUUUUCCUCCUUCCAUGUGAGGGUGCUCAUAUCUUGCAUUUCUGGCCAACAGCCUGAAGCAAUUACGUUCUGGUACUUUGUAGAAAAUUCAGUCAAAAAUUGUCAUUUUUUGAGAGUUCUGUCCUCCUUUCCUAGGUGUAAUGAGACGCAUAGAGAGAAAUAAAAUGCCUCUGAAAUUUUUGUUCUGUCUGACACCUCUGAAGAGAGUUAUCUGUAGUGAUUAAUUAGCAUUAUCUUUGACAAAACUAAUCAUUUAUAGUGAACAAAUGUUAUGGGGCAGAUUGUUGGUGCUUCUGAGGCAAUUCCAUCCUCUGCAAUAAUUCCAUAAAGGUUGAGUUCCCUGCCUGACCGCAACGGGACUUAAAUGGAGAUGAAGCUGCUUGGAAAAAUCUGUUUUGGAAAUAGAAUGAUAUCGUGGAACUCCUCAAGAAUUCUUGCUUUUAUAUCUAAUCCAAAUUUCUUUUCCCAUUACAAAUUGAAUGCAUUAAUCUUGUGAGUUAACACAAAUUUUACAGGAAACUUUAUAGUCAAAGUAUGUAUCAUAAUUGGGAUUGUUAUUUCACCUGAUAAUUUGUUUUCUUAUAAAAAGUUACAUAUCCUAUUAGGUGACUCUAGUCAUAGUUCAUAUCUCCCUUGAUUGAUGUGACCCUAUUUGAUCCCAUUUGUGCAGUUUACAAUAGGUCAAAAAUUCUCUUUGAACACUGGAAAGGUGCACUAUUAAGUUUUGCAAAGUUAUAUUCUGUGAGGCAGAUUGGCAUGACUGUAGUUUAUAAUGCAAUCAAACUGUAAAUCUGUAAAUUGUAAAUACAGUCUUGAGGUUCAUUUUGGGCUACUGGUUUUUGAAGGCUGCUCUUAUAUUGUAUAGUUUCCUAAUAAAUGUUACACUCACUUGUUCUUUUAUUUGAUAUAGUCUCUUCACUUCAGUUUAUAAUUUUCUUAUUGCUAGUUCUUAGACUUCAUGCAAGAACACUAAUUAAAACUUAAUAUAUGGCCUGCUGGAAUGAAUCUCUUUCCUUAACUUGCAAAAGAAUGUUGGUAGUAUGCCUCUUUAUAUUCUUGAGAAAAUACUAUGAUAACACUGCAAAAAGUUUUGGAACUGUUUUCCUUUAUAAUGUGUAAAUUAUUUCUGUCAUCUAUGUUAUUAGAUUUUAAUUCAGUAAAGCUGAGCUAACAAACUGUGAAGGGCACAGACUAUAAACCUUUCAACAGCUUUGGCAAGAAGUGUCAUGCAAGGAAAAUACGUAUGCAAGUAUGAAUGGGGAUUUGGAGGAUCAGAUGUGUGAGUGAGUGAUGUUAUAAAAGAAGGACUGUAUUUAGUAUUAUGGAUGAUGAUUUACAUCUUCAGCUUGAAAAAGAAUCUGCAUAUGUUUUACGGAGUGUAAUAAUUCAAAGUGACCAAAUUACAGGGAUGUCAAUAAACUUCCUUUCCUGUUGUUCAGCUAAACCAAA